ACGGGACCCGCACAAGCGGUGGAUGAUGUUGGUUUAAUUCGAUGCAACGACGAAAAACCUUUACCCACCUUUGACAUGUACGGAAUCCUUUAGAGAUAGAGGAGUGCUCGAAAGAGAGCCGUAACACAGGUGCUGCAUGGCUGUCGUCAGCUCGUGUCGUGAGAUGUUGGGUUAAGUCCCGCAACGAGCGCAACCCUUGUCAUUAGUUGCUACAUUCAGUUGGGCACUCUAAUGAGACUGCCGGUGACAAACCGGAGGAAGGUGGGGAUGACGUCAAGUCCUCAUGGCCCUUAUAGGUGGGGCUACACACGUCAUACAAUGGAUGGUACAAAGGGUCGCCAACCCGCGAGGGGGAGCCAAUCCCAUAAAGCCAUUCGUAGUCCGGAUCGCAGUCUGCAACUCGACUGCGUGAAGUCGGAAUCGCUAGUAAUCGUGGAUCAGAAUGUCACGGUGAAUAUGUCCCUGCUCCUU
rnacentral:rRNA from 1 species